rnacentral:rRNA from 1 species
UCGAGAAUUUUUCUCAAUGGGCGCAAGCCUGAAGGAGCGACGCCGCGUGGAGGAUGAAGGUCUUCGGAUUGUAAACUCCUGUCAUUAGGGAACAAACCUUCCAAGUAACUACUGGAAGUCUGAUAGUACCUGAAGAGGAAGAGACGGCUAACUCUGUGCCAGCAGCCGCGGUAAUACAGAGGUCUCAACCGUUGUUCGGAUUCAUUGGGCGUAAAGGGUGCGUAGGCGGCGGGGCAAGUCAGGUGUGAAAUCUCGGGGCUCAACCCCGAAACUGCACUUGAUACUGCCUUGCUCGAGUACUGGAGAGGAGACUGGAAUUUACGGUGUAGCAGUGAAAUGCGUAGAUAUCGUAAGGAAGACCAGUGGCGAAGGCGAGUCUCUGGACAGUUACUGACGCUGAGGCACGAAGGCCAGGGGAGCAAACGGG